rnacentral:lncRNA from 1 species
CAUCCUAGUUAAUUGUUUCCAGCAUCUAGUUUUCUGAAGCACACUGCCUGUAAUCUGUGGACAGGGAAUACAGAUAACUGACCCUAGUUCUCCAAAGAUUAGCACCUCCCUCAUUCCCCCCGUCUCAGUUGCCAAUUCAUUGUGUACAAGGACGAGGAAAGGCUGGGACUUGCAGAGCAUUUAUAAUACUUUGGGGGCUGAAACGAAUAGUUAUGGCCUACUAUUUUCUCAUCAAAAGGGCUCUCUAGUAAUACAGAUUUCUUAGCAGGGCAUUAAGCUCAUCUUCAUAUUUUCAGAUUUUCCUCGGAGAGAAGAGAGCUGCCACCCAUAUUUCCUGGCAUUCAAACAUCAAGUCAUUCUGCAUCCCUCGAACAGUGUCAUCCCUUCAAUCUGCUGUCUCACAAAGCUGCUCUUUCACUGGAAAGAAAGGAAUGAAUCAUUUCAUUACGAUGAGUGCAUGAUCCACCGACACUGCUUCCUAUUACCAGGCCCCAAGGAAAUAAGAGAGUUGUGUAGAAACCAUGCCUGCCAAGGGAGUUCACACAGCAGAACAGAAAUGCAUAUGUCCAUGUGUUACAGAAGUGGAGCACCCUCCCUGCUCUCCCUGGAAGACCGAAAAAAAAAAAAACCAACCCAAGGAAAAGAGAGGAAGAAAAAAGCCCUGAAUCUGUGGCUCCCUGCACAUUUUCUCAGGGAUAAAAGAAGAUCUGCAGUGUCAUACUGUUGUCACCAUCUCUGAGACUGACUGGUCUGGUAUGUGACACAUCUGCAUCCACUGUGACAAAGAUCUUGUCUUCCUGCCUUGCAUUGGAUGGGGACCUACACUGUUGUUAACCACAAAGCUGGGUGUGGUGUUCCACCAUAGCCUGUCAGGCAGAUGGCUUCUAUGGGUGUUUCCUGCUUCAAAUUAAAAGAGAGACAGGCUAAAGGACCACUUCUACAUUUCAUUCAAAAAAAAUACAAACUCUACAGCUGAGAGUCAAGUAUGGAAUUCAGAAUACCUAGCUGUUCUGCUGUAGUUUAUGUAGCCAUUUCACUUCAUGUAAUUAUCAAUUAUGAAAGGAAAGAGUCACACCCUACCUCAGCAAUGAAGAUCUGCAACCCUGACAUAGAAUGUCAGGGUUGCAUGACAUAGAAUGACAUGUUGAUCUUGUAUUUAGUUCAGCUAUGUGUCCAUGCACAAUUCAGUCUUAGAAGAAUUGUAAAAGUAAACCCUUUUGCUGUUCACACAGCAAUCAUAUACAUGUAGCAAACUGGACUGGAAGGGAUGUGCAUUCAUUUUAAAUGAAAGAAUAAAUGGAUGAAUUUAGUCCA